GACAGAGGGUGCAAACGUUGUUCGGAAUUACUGGGCGUAAAGCGCGUGUAGGCGGCUUGGAAAGUCGGGUGUGAAAGCCCUGGCUCAACCUAGGAAGUGCACUCGAAACUGCCGAGCUUGAGUCUGGAGAGGAAGGCGGAAUUCUCGGUGUAGAGGUGAAAUUCGUGAGAUAUCGAGAGGAACACCUGCGGCGAAGGCGGUUGCUGGGCUGACACUGACGCUGAUGCGCGAAAGCUAGGGGAGCGAACGG
rnacentral:rRNA from 1 species